AUGUUGCCCAGCAGGCGGUACAAGGAAGCACUAAAGUCUCCAGAGAAUGAAGAAAAAAAGAUUUCUCGGCUCCUUUCUGCCCGUGGACGCCGCCGAAGAAGCAUCGUUAAAGUCUCUCUUCUCCCUGCCGUCAAGUCUAAGUCAGAGUCUCCUAAAGAGCCCGAACAGCUGAGGAAGCUCUUCAUUGGAGGGUUGAGCUUUGAAACAACUGAUGAGAGCCUGAGGAGCCAUUUUGAGCAAUGGGGAACGCUCACGGACUGUGUGGUAAUGAGAGAUCCAAACACCAAGCGCUCCAGGGGCUUUGGGUUUGUCACAUAUGCCACUGUGGAGGAGGUGGAUGCAGCUAUGAAUGCAAGGCCACACAAGGUGGACGGAAGAGUUGUGGAACCAAAGAGAGCUGUCUCAAGAGAAGAUUCUCAAAGACCAGGUGCCCACUUAACUGUGAAAAAGAUAUUUGUUGGUGGCAUUAAAGAAGACACUGAAGAACAUCACCUAAGAGAUUAUUUUGAACAGUAUGGGAAAAUUGAAGUGAUUGAAAUCAUGACUGACUGAGGCAGUGGCAAGAAAAGGGGCUUUGCCUUUGUAAUCUUUGAUGACCAUGACUCCGUGGAUAAGAUUGUCAUUCAGAAAUACCAUACUGUGAAUGGCCACAACUGUGAAGUUAGGAAAGCCCUGUCAAAGCAAGAGAUGGCUAGUGCUUCAUCCAGCCAAAGAGGUCGAAGUGGUUCUGGAAACUUUGGUGGUGGUCGUGGAGGUGGUUUCGGUGGGAGUGACAACUUCGGUCGUGGAGGAAACUUCAGUGGUCGUGGUGGCUUUGGUGGCAGCCGUGGUGGUGGUGGAUAUGGUGGCAGUGGGGAUGGCUAUAAUGGAUUUGGUAACGAUGGAAGCAAUUUUGGAGGUGGUGGAAGCUACAAUGAUUUUGGCAAUUACAACAAUCAGUCUUCAAAUUUUGGACCAAUGAAGGGAGGAAAUUUUGGAGGCAGAAGCUCUGGCCCCUAUGGCGGUGGAGGCCAAUACUUUGCAAAACCACGAAACCAAGGUGGCUAUGGCGGUUCCAGCAGCAGCAGUAGCUAUGGCAGUGGCAGAAGAUUUUAAUUAGGAAACAAAGCUUAGCAGGAGAGGAGAGCCAGAGAAGUGACAGGGAAGCUACAGGUUACAACAGAUUUGUGAACUCAGCCAAGCACAGUGGUGGCAGGGCCUAGCUGCUACAAAGAAGACAUGUUUUAGACAAAUACUCAUGUGUAUGGGCAAAAAACUCGAGGACUGUAUUUGUGACUAAUUGUAUAACAGGUUAUUUUAGUUUCUGUUCUGUGGAAAGUGUAAAGCAUUCCAACAAAGGGUUUUAAUGUAGAUUUUUUUUUUUUGCACCCAUGCUGUUGAUUGCUAAAUGUAAUA